ACCAGUCACCGAAUCAUCAGUGGAAUCAGAAGACACUCAGGACAAUGAGUCAGAGGAGGAAGAUCUGUUGAUAAUUCCAGCAGUUCCUGAUGACGAGACUUUCAUCAGUGGGAGUACUGUGGACAAGGAUACAUCUAUCUCACAGACAAGUGGUGACGACCAGGUGUCUGCUGAGACAGAUGGUAAUGCUUCUGGUGGUGACGACCACGUGCAGACUGAUACUAGUGAAGACUGCACAGAAGCAGAACCUGAAGACACAUCAGAGCAAGAAGACUCAUUUGGAAGGGAAUCUCCUCCUGUAACUCCUGUAGUUGUCUCAAGACCAACACCACUUCCACGACGCUCUGGACGCCAAACUAAGAAACCAACAUGGCAGACGUCCGGGGAAUAUGUGAUGUGCCAGACUUCUGAUCCAGAUUGGCAUCAGAAGAGUCGACGCAUAGAACAGUUAGUUGCUACCGGCGUCAUUGGUCACAUCAGCAGUGGCAUUUCCAAAGCACUUCUUUCACUCAUUGACGAACCCCAAGAAUGACGUGGACGUCAUUUUCCACAGGAGGGAAGUAUGUGGCAGUAACAGAUUUUGUAUAUUUUAACAUGUUGUAAAUUGAUUAGAAUUCAUGUAAAUAAAUGCUUUAAAUUUCAUUGCACAGCUUUAGUCAUUUUAUUUUAUCAUGAUACUUAGCCUGCCUUAACUAACUAUCACUCACAGCCAGUUCACUGAGCAUGCUUACCGCAUGUUCACCACACAGCACAAUAACAUAAGCCCUUCCCCACCUACGUUCUUUUGUCUUUAUAGCCAGCUUGGGCAAUCAGCUAAGCUUUACACUUUUACACAUUACAAGGUUUGUGGUCACUCCACAUUCAAUCUUCAGUGUGUCAACAUGUCUUGUUCAUUUUCUGGACAUACCUUUGGAUCAUAUCUUUGGAUCAUAUUCUAAGGCAAACAUUUAAUACAGAUACAGCAGCGUCCCCAGGUGUGAAAUAAACCUAGGCCCACACACCUGGGUUGUCGUUUUCACCUAUACCAUAUCUCCAAUAAAUCAUCGGCCAUUGAAGAACAACAAAAGUAGCGUCUGUUGUCUGUGCGUGACUGACGCAGUCCU